UACGGGGGGGGCAAGCGUUGUUCGGAAUUACUGGGCGUAAAGGGCUCGUAGGCGGCCGACUAAGUCAGACGUGAAAUCCCCCGGCUUAACCGGGGAACUGCGUCUGAUACUGGAUGGCUUGAGUUCGGGAGAGGGAUGCGGAAUUCCAGGUGUAGCGGUGAAAUGCGUAGAUAUCUGGAGGAACACCGGUGGCGAAGGCGGCAUCCUGGACCGAUACUGACGCUGAGGAGCGAAAGCCAGGGGAGCAAACGGG
rnacentral:rRNA from 1 species